ACGCACUUACAGGGGCCCUCUGUGCGUGCGCUCCAAGACAAAGAUUUCAAGGGACGUCUGGACCCCGGAAACCCGAGGUGCAUAAGGUACUCUAUUGGAUGUGCCCUGUGCAGCACACCGUACAUACCUCCUUCACGUGUGUCCGGCUUUGUACUCCCCUGCAUGUACGCCACGUCCUCAAGUCACCUCCCUUACCCCGGUUCUCACGUUCUGUUUCAAGACCCUCCCUUGGUCCCACCUCCUAACCCACACGCCCCCAGAGCUUCCCACGACGGAGCGGAGGUGGGGGAAGGGAUGCAAAGAAAGGACAAAAGCCUCCCCUUCUUUGAUGGUUCCUCCCCCGGUGCAUUCCUACCUGGGCCGCCUAACCCUGUUAACCUGUCUCACUAGAGCUUUGGCUGAGUCCUCAGACACCCCGCCCCCACCCCCAAGCUGGGGUGUAAAGAGGGAUGGGGUGUGGUUAAGGCUUGGGAAGAAUGAGGGUACUCAGGAGGGGUCUGGCUUUCCUGGGGGCCGAUGAGGCAUGCGAGGUCUUAACACUGGUUAGCUGGUUAGCGUCUUGGUUAAUUAAUUACACACUCCUGGGGGCAGAGAGCGCGUAAAAAAGGCAGCCAGUGGGAUGGGGGUGGGGCGGGGAGUGUUGAGUGUGGGGGAGGAGCGGUUUCCUCUCACCUCCUUAAUCGCAUCUGCCCCAGAGCUGCAGUUGCAGCCCCAAAUGACACAGUUCAUUCCUCUCUCUGUGCCUGAACGCGGAGAGUAGGGGCAGGUAGAGAGAGUAAGCUGCCCUAGGCUAUUCAGAAUGACCCUCUGCCAGGAGGGCCCCAGGGAGAGGGCCCUGAACCACAGCUGUUAGAUCUAAGCCUGGGUGGCCAGACCUUGGAUUAGCACCUGGAAAUCUGGGGCGACUGGGGUAGUGCAGUGGGAAAGGCUGCAGAUUUAGAUUAUAGAUAGACCUAGGGGUCAAAGCCCAGCUUCCUUAGCCUUUGACCUUAGGUAGGUUGACCUUUCUAUGCCUCUUAUGUCCUCAUCUACAAAAAGGAAUAGUAAUCAUUCCUAUCUCAUGAGAUUGAUGCAAACAUUAAGUCAGUUAAUACGUGAAAAGUGUGUGCUGGGGAUCAGAGUAAAUACUCAAAAAUGUUAGCUACUAUUUUUAUUAGUAUGAUUGAAUAAAAUGUAGGAAGAGAUAGGAAAAUGCUGAGUAGCGCUUGGUAUGUCGCAGGGGUGGAAGAAACUAAAGCAUGGGGUGGGGUAGGGCAUCCACCAGCCCCGUUUCACCCACAGGGAUGGAUGCUGGACAUUUUGCUGCAGGCUUAGCCCAGGUGCUGGCCCACUUCCUGGGAUAGGGCUGCUGGGGCUUGGAUGGUUUGAAGGCAACGAGGGUGAGGGUGCGGAAGCUCAUCAAGGGGUAGAAAAUAUGGCAAAUUGCUGAGGGAUUGUGGUUUCUGCAUUUCUGCCCUUAGUGCGUUGAUCCUGGGUUUCCAUGCAGGUGGGGAAGAGGAUUCCUUCCCUUCAAUAUUCAUUCAUUCUUCAGUAUUUAUUGGAUAUAUGCUACAUGUCAGGCGUGGUGCUGGGCACUAGAGAUCUUGCGAUGAACAGAGACAGACGCUGCUUCAAAGAACUUAGUCUCAUAGGGACAUAGAUGCCUUCAAAUAAUCAUACAAAGGAAUAUAUAGAAUUACAAGUCAUGGUAAAUGUUACGGGUGCGGGAUCAAAUCACAGCUCUAGUGACCUGAGCUAGUCUAGGGCAAGGCCAGGGUCCUCUAACCAGUUAUCUGAUGCCCAGCAGAGGGAGCUGGGGCCCCCAUUACUACCCAGGUCCCUUUAAUUAGCCUUUUGGUGUCUGACCUUGAGCAUAUAUCUUCAUUCACUCUGCCCUUUCCUCCCUCCCUCAUUCCAUUUACUCAACAUGUUUUCAUUGGGCCCUUCCAUAUGCCUGUGCCAGUGUAUGAAGCUGAGGAUGUGGGGAUGAACCAGCUACAGCUCCCAGUCAAUGGUACGUACAGCUCAGAGGACACUGAUGUCUAAAUCAGCUAAUACAAUGUGGUAAGUGCUCCAGCUAGAGAAGCUCCAGGUGCUGUUUAAGGAAGGGACUGUGGCCAGGAAUUCUAUCAAAGAAGGGUGCUGCAGAAGGUGACUUGAAUUAAGCAUUAGCGGCUGUUUGCAGUUAGCAAAAGAGGAGAAGGAAGCCGUACAUGCUAAGAUCCAGGGGCUGGUAGGAGCAGGGCAGCCUAGGGGCACACAGGCCAUUCCAACUCGAAACGAGGAAGGACCAGGGUCAUGGACGAAUGACGUGGAUCAACCCUGCCCCUUUCCCAUAACUCAUCCCCAGCAGGGCCUCCACUUGUCACAGCCCAGAGGGCUAGUCUUGGGCAUCUGGUCCCAGCAAUUCCACCACUCGACUUGGGCACCCUCUCCAUUGCUACUUUCUGUAGGCCUCUGCUCUACCUGUUCUCUGCUGCAAGGUACAUUUGUCUACAAGCUUUUCUUAGCACAUGAUGCUGCUAUCUCCUUUUCAGUGAAAGAGCUCAGAGAGAUGACAUGGCUUGGUUAGGGUCACAGAGCCAAAGCAAGAUCUCAGUCAGACCUAACCUGUCCAUGCUCUUGUGUUCUUAUCACUACAUCGGGAUACCUUGGAAGGGGGCUAAGGGAACCUAGAAGUGCUGUUCCUGGGCCAUGUCAGGAUGACACUCUCCUCUAGCCUCUCUCCCUCCCCCCAGGCUCUGCAUGAGCAAGGGCUGCCUGAGCCUUACUUCUUCAGAGAAGGGAGGGGAAGGGAAGGAGGAGAGGCGGGUCCUCAGGUGCCGAAGGCCCUGGUCAGGUGUAAAGACCAGAACAGGGUUCCACCUUGGGGUUCCACCUUGGGGGUUCCACCUUGGGAGUGGGUGGUGUCUGACAGGCAAGUAGCUCUGUCCCUCCCCUUUGCCUCUCUGCCCCUCUCUGUUUCUCAUGAAUUAUUCCUGUCUCAUGGAGUAGGAAUGACAACAGACUCACUCGGGAUCUGGCUGGAGGCCUGCUGUGACAUCAGCUCAGAGGUGGCUGCCCUGACCCUGACUCUUAGGGGCUGAGGAAGACCCGCUUCCCCACUUUGUCUUGGCCUGACAGAGAGAAGGAGAAAGGCAGGCGACAACUCUUCCUGGACCCCUCUCCCUUCCUUGGGCAUUGGACUUGGGGCAUGGAAGAGUGGUGGCGCUUGCCGGAGGGGACCAGGAAGGGUGUGUCUGCAGGAAUGUGGGGGGUACUGGAGCCUACUUUCCCCAGACACCGCUGCCUCCCAUGUGCCCUGCCACCCCUUCCGCUCAGCUACCCCAGCACUGCUCCCAGGCAUUGUUCUCCCAUCAUCCUCUCCACUUACUUUUUUUUUUUUUUUUUGUCUUUUUGCCUUUUCUAGGGCCGCUCCUAUGGCAUAUGGAGAUUCCCAGGCUAGGGGUCUAAUUGGAACUGUAGACGCCAGCCUAUGCCAGAGCCACAGCAACGCGGGAUCCAAGCCAUGUCUGCAACUUACACGACAGCUCAUGGCAACGCCGGAUCCUUAACCCACUGAGCAAGGCCAGGGAUUGAACACCCAACCUCAUAGUUCCUAGUCGGAUUCGCUAACCACUGAGCCAUGACGGGAACUCCCCUCUCCACUUACUUUGAAGCCACCAUUGAACUUUUCCCUUGUUCUACCUUCCUUCCUUCCUCACCUCCUGUGACCUUUCUGAGCCUCAGGUUCACAGUCAAGCUUCUUCUGAAACUUGGUGCUUUGCGAUCCAGACGCUUCUUGGCUCCGGCCUCUUGGCUCACACCCAGAUGCUGAUCUCUCACCUCCAGUGAUCUCCUUCACUCCUAAUUGGUCUCCAUUUAGUGCAGCACAUUGGGCUCCACUUGGAUCCUGGCUCUCGCUUAGCCAUCUCUCACAGAUCACAUCUUCCUAAGCUCCCAUCAGUCACUUCCUCCUGGAGUUCCCGUUGUGGUGCAGCAGAAACUAAGCUAACUAGUAACCAUGAGGUUGCAAGUUUGAUCCCUGGCCUCACUCAGUGAGUUAAGGAUCUGGCAUUGCCCUGAGCUGUGGCGUAGUUCGCAGACCCAGCUUGGAUCCCACAUUGCUGUGGCUGUGGCGCAGGCCAGCAGCUGUAGCUCCAAUUCAACCCCUAGCUGGGGAACCUCCAUAUGCUGCGGGUGUGGCCAU
rnacentral:lncRNA from 1 species